CAGCAGCCACGGUAAGUCGAACCGUGCGAACGUUAUUCGGAAUCACUGGGCUUAGAGCGCGUGUAGGCGGAUGGGAGCGUCGGCCUCUGAAAUCCCCCGGCUCAACCGGGGAAGUGGAGCCGAAACGACCCGUCUGGAGGGACGUAGGGGGACCUGGAACUUCCGGUGGAGCGGUGAAAUGCGUUGAGAUCGGAAGGAACGCCCGUGGCGAAAGCGAGCCCCUGGACGUUUUCUGACACUGAGACGCGAAAGCCAGGGGAGCGAACGGGAUUAGAGACCCGCGUAGUCCCUGUCUCUUAUU
rnacentral:rRNA from 1 species